CCGGCUAAUAUUUUUGUUCUUUGUAGAGAUGAGGUUUUGCUUUUUUGCCCAGACUGGUCCUGAACUCCUGGACACAAGCGACCCUCCAGCUGCAGCCUCCCGUAGUGCUGGGAUUACAAGUGAGAGCCACUGUUCUUGGCCUACUAUUUUUAAUAAUAGCACAGUAGAGUUACUAGACAUCAUUCAGUCUGAGUUUCUAACAUUCAUGUAGAUACUAGAAGUCUAGUCAUGUACUUGGAGAUUUUCCUUAUAGGUAAAGACAGCAGAUAAGUCUUAGUUUAUUAUCAAAUGCAGCUUGUGGGGCCGGGCGAGGUGGCCCAAGCCUGUAACCCCUGCACUUUGCGAGGCUGAAGUAGGAGGAUCUGCCUUGAGCCCACAAAUUGGAGGUUGCAGUGAGCUAUGAAUGUGCCACUGCACUCCAGACUGGACAACAGAGCAAGACCCCAUCUCUUAAAAAAAUGCAGCUUGCACAUGGAGGCAUCUAAAGCGUAGGGCUAUAAAAUUAUUCUAUCAUUCCCUGAGCAGUUGGUAGAAAUUUGGCAAAUCACAGAGAAAGUUGGUAUUUUCUGGGUGUCUAUUCAAAACAGAACUAUACAUGCAAUUUCCUUUUCCUUGAGUACAUUAAUUUGGGAGUUUUUCUUAAGAACUACCAAUUUGUCACGUACAUCAAAUACCCAAGCUAAUAUUCAACCUGGGGGAAAAAACUGGGGAGUUAAAGGGGAAAAUUACCACACAUGCAAUUUAAAAAAAAAACAAAUACUUCUUUUGACUACGUUACUGAGGUGCAAUAAUGUGUAUCAACAGAUGGCGAGUAUAGAAUUGGAAGUUAAGUAAACUCAAAUCCCAUGGAGGCACUAUAAUCUUCCUAUGAUGUUCCUGGCACCCCAUCCUGCCAUCAUAUUAGCUUGAGGGGUGUCCACAGGGACAGAUUUUGUCAGCUGGAACACAGGCUGGGUGUCAGAACCCUUGGUGACUGCCAUAGCAUGACAAUAAUACCAACUGCUGCCAUCUAUUAAAAGUAAAAGUGACUGAGCUAGAAUUUGGUUAAGUAAUGUGCAACCUGUCUUGCUCUGCUCCAUAGACAAGAGGGGAGGAGGACUGGGUGUGAGUGAGAACAGCAGAGGUUUUAGUGUAGGGGAGGAAAGAUUGUUUUCCUUACCCAUUUUGUUUUAGAUCCCUAUAACAAAAGACAACAAAAGAAAAGCGUACAAAAAACUUUGUUUAAUAUAAGUUUUAUGUGACACAGGGGCCUUCAUAAGGAAAUGAAGACCCAAAGAGAUGCAUUUUUAUGCUUAUGUUCGAUGAAGAACAGACAUGCAGAAGUUUGAUUGGACAGAGGGGGUAUGAUCUAAUGGUAAACUAGAUAAACUUAGCAAGGUCUGUUUGUUAACGUGUUAAUGUUCUUCUCUGUGUCCCUGUGUCCUCAAAGAUGAGGAUAUUUCUUUCCUCUGGGUACAUGGAGGUGCCCCUCCAAUGAGAGUCUUAUGACCUGCUUCAGGGGAGAAGAGUGAGGAAAAAUAAAAUUCCUGCUUCUGCUGUUUUCUCAAAUGCCAAGGUACCAUAUUUUGGAGUAGCAUGUCCUGAACACCAUCGUUAGCAUCCCAAGUACAACACGGAGGCUUAUUUUUCUAAGAAACAGCAGACUCUUUGCAGGAUAACAAUGCCAAGAUUCACCAUCCAUCACCAACCUGUGACUUCUGAAUUAGACCUCCUGCACAUGUUGCUUUCAACACAACCUGCCCCGACACACAUAGCCACCUUCAUGAACUCCUUAUAAAAAUCCCUGCCCUCCAUUGGUUGGGGAGACGGAUUUAAUGCAUUUCUCCUGUCUCCUUGGUAAUGUCAUCUGUAAUAAAUUACCUUCCUUCCCUGGCAA